rnacentral:rRNA from 1 species
AUUGAACGCUGGCGGCAUGCCUUACACAUGCAAGUCGAACGGCAGCACGGGAGCAAUCCUGGUGGCGAGUGGCGAACGGGUGAGUAAAGUAUCGGAACGUGCCCAGUCGCGGGGGAUAACGUAGCGAAAGUUACGCUAAUACCGCAUACGAUCUAUGGAUGAAAGCGGGGGAUCGCAAGACCUCGCGCGAUUGGAGCGGCCGAUAUCAGAUUAGGUAGUUGGGGGGGUAAAGGCUCACCAAGCCGACGAUCUGUAGCUGGUCUGAGAGGACGACCAGCCACACUGGGACUGAGACACGGCCCAGACUCCUACGGGAGGCAGCAGUGGGGAAUUUUGGACAAUGGGCGAAAGCCUGAUCCAGCCAUGCCGCGUGCAGGAUGAAGGCCUUCGGGUUGUAAACUGCUUUUGUACGGAACGAAAAGGUUUGGGCUAAUAAGCUGAGCUCAUGACGGUACCGUAAGAAUAAGCACCGGCUAACUACGUGCCAGCCGCCGCUGUAA